rnacentral:rRNA from 1 species
AGCUCCAAUAGCGUAUAUUAAAGUUGUUGCAGUUAAAAAGCUCGUAGUUGAAUUUUGGACCUGGCUUGGUGGUCUUGCCGCAAGGUUAGCACUGCUGUGGUCGGGUCUUUCCUUCUGCGGAACCUGUGUGCGCUUAAUUGAGUGCGCAGGGGAUGCAGGACUUUUACUUUGAAAAAAUUAGAGUGUUUAAAGCAGGCGUACGCUUGAAUACAUUAGCAUGGAAUAAUAGAAUAGGACUUUGGUUCUAUUUUGUUGGUUUCUAGGACCGAGGUAAUGAUUAAUAGGGACAGUUGGGGGCAUUAGUAUUUAAUUGUCAGAGGUGAAAUUCUUGGAUUUAUUGAAGACUAACUACUGCGAAAGCAUUUGCCAAGGAUGUUUUCA